AACGAACGCUGGCGGCAUGCCUAACACAUGCAAGUCGAACGAGACCUUCGGGUCUAGUGGCGCACGGGUGCGUAACGCGUGGGAACCUGCCCUUAGGUUCGGAAUAACUCCCCGAAAGGGGUGCUAAUACCGGAUAAUGUCUUCGGACCAAAGAUUUAUCGCCUUUGGAUGGGCCCGCGUUGGAUUAGCUGGUUGGUAGGGUAAAAGCUUACCAAGGCGACGAUCCAUAGCUGGUCUGAGAGGAUGAUCAGCCACACUGGGACUGAGACACGGCCCAGACUCCUACGGGAGGCAGCAGUGGGGAAUAUUGGACAAUGGGCGAAAGCCUGAUCCAGCAAUGCCGCGUGAGUGAUGAAGGCCUUAGGGUUGUAAAGCUCUUUUACCCGGGAUGAUAAUGACAGUACCGGGAGAAUAAGCUCCGGCUAACUCCGUG
rnacentral:rRNA from 1 species